GGAAUAUUGGACAAUGGGGGCAACCCUGAUCCAGCCAUGCCGCGUGUGUGAAGAAGGCCUUCGGGUUGUAAAGCACUUUCAGUGGUGAGGGAGGGGAGCGUGUUAAUAGCACGCUUCAUUGACGUUAGCCACAGAAGAAGCACCGGCUAACUCCGUGCCAGCAGCCGCGGUAAUACGGAGGGUGCGAGCGUUAAUCGGAAUUACUGGGCGUAAAGCGCACGCAGGCGGCUUGUUAAGCCAGAUGUGAAAGCCCCGGGCUCAACCUGGGAGGGUCAUUUGGAACUGGCAAGCUAGAGUCUUGGAGAGGGGAGUGGAAUUCCAGGUGUAGCGGUGAAAUGCGUAGAGAUCUGGAGGAACAUCAGUGGCGAAGGCGGCUCCCUGGCCAAAGACUGACGCUCAUGUGCGAAAGUGUGGGUAGCGA
rnacentral:rRNA from 1 species